UACAGAGGGUGCGAGCGUUGUCCGGAAUCACUGGGCGUAAAGGGCGCGUAGGCGGCCUGAUAAGUAGGGGGUGAAAUCUUGCGGCUCAACCGCAAGGCUGCCUUCUAAACUGUCAGGCUGGAGCACGGUAGAGGCAGAUGGAAUUCCCGGUGUAGCGGUGGAAUGCGUAGAGAUCCGGAAGAACACCAGUGGCGAAGGCGGCCCGCUGGGCAGUGGCUGACGCUGAGGCGCGACAGCGUGGGGAGCAAACAGG
rnacentral:rRNA from 1 species